UUGAGGUGAUAGGUUGGCGUAAGUGCAAAAACUGUUUACUGCUGUAUGUGUAUAAUUAAUUUAAAACUAUCGUUAAAUUUAAUCUUUUUUAAUAUUCAUCAUAUUUUAGUGGAACAAAAACAACAUUAAAAACACCGGUUCAAUAUAAAAAAGAAUACCAUCAACGACUAAAAAUACAAAAACAAAUAAAUAAUCCAAAAAGAAGAAUAGGGAAAAAAAUAAAAUCACCAAAAAAAUGUACAGCGUUAAAAAGAACACAGGCAACGUGAAAAAACACAAACAAAUCACAGGAGAAGAGUGUAUAUAAUAUGAAAGAGUAUCGUCACAAAUUUUACGAUUUGUUUGUAAUUUCUAUGAAUCAAAUAAAAAAAACUUGAUAACAUAA